GGGACUAAAACUCUUACAAGUUAUUGGACAUAUAGUAACGUACUAACAUGACUAAACUUAAUCUCAACUAAUUGGUAUCCAUCUUUUUUAUUCCAUUAAAAGCAAUUACUGGUUACAUUGUCAAAUAUUGUCAUGCAUAUUUCGAUCAUAUUACUACAUUCAUCUCCAAGAACAUGCUUGUUUCACGAUGAAUCAAACACUACAUUAGUUCACUUAUUUAUCAAAUGCAUUUUUAAACUCACCUUUCUUUUUCUUCCCGCCGCCUUUCUUCUUGCUUUUUACAGGAAGGGCUAACCAGGUCUUGAUUUCAGGUUCAUCGUCUAUUGUCUUAGCAGGUUUCAGCUCCUGGAUAGCAUGAGAUGUGAUCCUAUCUGACCCGUUAGGCUUUCAGGUUCAUCGUCUAUUGUCUUAGCAGGUUUCAGCUCCUGGAGAGUAUGAGUUGUGAUCCUAUCUGACCCGUUAGGCAUUAACAGCACUGUGAAUUUUAUGUGAGCAACCAAAUCACCUGCACAUCAACACAAGAAAAAAGUAAAGGAAAGGAAUAUUAUCUGGAAAUGGAGUUUCAGUAAGAUUACAG
rnacentral:lncRNA from 1 species